AGCCCAUUCACCGCGCGGCCGCAGGAGCGCAGCGCCGGCGCCGCGCCGCCCAGCCCCGCCGAGAGGGGCGCACUCGCCGCCGCGGGGCCCGCCGCCGCUCACCGCAGCCCCCUCCUGGCGACCCGCAAGUUAUUUCAAACUUGAACUGCAUCAUUCCAGCAGCGAAUUCCCGGUGGUCUUGUCUACUUGACCUACUCGUUCCCUAUUCUGAAAUCUAGAGAAGACUGUUCCACAAGACUCCUCUGUAAACUGCUGCAAUGUCUGUAUCUAAUUUAUCAUGGUUGAAGAAAAAGUCCCAGUCGGUGGAUAUUACCGCUCCAGGGUUCAACCCUCUUGCUGGUGCAGGAAAGCCAAUGCCGCAAGCGAGUAAGCCCCCCGCACCCAAGACACCCAUCAUUGAAGAAGAGCAGAACAAUGCGGCCAAUACCCAGAAGCAUCCUUCUCGGAGGAGUGAACUGAAGAGGUUCUACA